UACUAAAAAAAAUCCAAAAUCGGUGUCCAAAACUUAUUCCGACCAAUGUUAGGGAUCCAGCACCGCACCACCAUCGUGUUCUAACGUCAGCUCUACCACCGUGUUCUGACGUCGGCUCCACCGCCCAUGAUGGUGGUUCGCUUCAACCUGGUCAGUUUUGGCCAAUUUUAACCAAUUUACGCUGUAUCCCUAUAGAAAAACACAUUAGGUGCUUCAGUUGGCUGAAAAAUCACAAAAAAAUCGAACUUACCUGCAGGGGACCUCCGAGUGCAGCGGCUCCGCUUGUCCUCCUUCGCAGCUGAGGUUCUUUCUUUGGCUACCUUGCAUA
rnacentral:lncRNA from 1 species